UCCUCCGUAGCUCAGUAGAUAGAGCAUUCGGCCUUUAACCGAAGGGUCGCUGGUUUGAGCCCAGCCGGGGGAA
rnacentral:tRNA from 1 species